rnacentral:siRNA from 1 species
UCGGAGCCACUUGUGUUUGAACCA